ACGCUCGACACCUACGGGGGGCAGCAGUCGGGAAUAUUGCGCAAUGGAGGAAACUCUGACGCAGUGACGCCGCGUAUAGGAAGAAGGUUUUCGGAUUGUAAACUAUUGUCGUUAGGGAAGAGAAAGGACAGUACCUAAGGAGGAAGCUCCGGCUAACUACGUGCCACAGCCGCGGUAAUCUGAGCGGGCUGGCAAGGC
rnacentral:rRNA from 1 species